rnacentral:rRNA from 1 species
AUGCGCUUAUCCCAAAAAGAAGCUAAUUUCACGAGGGCACAAGAAUCAGCCCGCAAAGACAUUGGGAGAGCUUUCGGUGCUUUGCAAGCAAGAUUUGCCAUUGUUCGGGGUCCAGCUCGUUUUUGGGACAAGAAAACCCUUGUGAACAUCAUAAAGUGUUGUCUCAUUCUACACAACAUGAUACUCGAGGAUGAGAGGGGUAACUUGCCAUGUUUCUAUGACAAUGUUGGUACCCGAGUGCAACCGGAGAGGAACCCCGAUCGCAUUCAAGCUUUCCUUCAAACACAUCGGGAAAUUGAAAAUGCCAACACUCAUACCCAGCUCCGCAAUGAUCUGGUCGAGCACCACUGGCAGCUGCUUGGCCGUCGCCAAUCAUGGCCUAUUUUAUUCAAACUUGUCCUAUUUGAUUCCAUGUCCUAUUUGUGA